rnacentral:rRNA from 1 species
CGGAGGGAUCAUUACUGAGUUUACGCUCUAUAACCCUUUGUGAACAUACCUAUAACUGUUGCUUCGGCGGGUAGGGUCUCCGUGACCCUCCCGGCCUCCCGCCCCCGGGCGGGUCGGCGCCCGCCGGAGGAUAACCAAACUCUGAUUUAACGACGUUUCUUCUGAGUGGUACAAGCAAAUAAUCAAAACUUUUAACAACGGAUCUCUUGGUUCUGGCAUCGAUGAAGAACGCAGCGAAAUGCGAUAAGUAAUGUGAAUUGCAGAAUUCAGUGAAUCAUCGAAUCUUUGAACGCACAUUGCGCCCGCCAGCAUUCUGGCGGGCAUGCCUGUUCGAGCGUCAUUUCAACCCUCAAGCUCUGCUUGGUGUUGGGGCCCUACAGCUGAUGUAGGCCCUCAAAGGUAGUGGCGGACCCUCCCGGAGCCUCCUUUGCGUAGUAACUUUACGUCUCGCACUGGGAUCCGGAGGGACUCUUGCCGUAAAACCCCCAAUUUUCCAAAGGUUGACCUCGGAUCAGGUAGGAAUACCCGCUGAACUUAAGCAUAUCAAUAAGCGGAGGAAAAGAAACCAACAGGGAUUGCCUCAGUAACGGCGAGUGAAGCGGCAACAGCUCAAAUUUGAAAUC